AGUUGUGUGGCAGAGUGGUCUAUGGCGCCGGACUUGGGGUUUGUUCCUCAAAAGGGUGUUGUGGAUUCGAAUCCCACCAUAAUUA